AGAGAUAGAUAUUAUUCUUAUAAAUGAGGAAAGCAGAUGCAAAGAUUGAAUACUGGUCCAAGGUCACAUAGGUAAUAUAUAACAAAGCAAAGAUUCGAGCCCAAAGUUGUCAAAUCCCAAACCCACAAUGUUUCUGCUACACUAUACUGCCUCUCCAUUUAAACAGAAACUAUUUUACUGGGAGGAAAUGCUUAAUUAAAUAGAAAGCCACAAAAAGGACUGUAGUUAUUAUGUAAAGAUCUAUAAACUGGCAGUCUGGAUAAUUAACUCUGUAUUCAGAACCUUCAUCUGGUAUCUGUAUUUCUUUUAUAUUGGCAAUUAGCUAACUAGGAUCAUUAAAGGAACAACAGCUAUUUCUCCUGAGACUCAAAGAUUUCAUAAGGUAUAUUCAAAAUGCGCUCUUUCUCUUCUAUGCUUUAUACAUUUGUUAUAACUGAUAAAUUAAGUAGUUAAAUUACAGAAUUUCUGAGUUUACUCCAAGGAGUUCAGCUAAUACAUACUCAAAAAUGGCAGUUUUUUGGUUUCCCUCUUUUUUUGUUUUUUAAUGAAAAGGCAAGAUUUUUAACACUCUCCAAUUAAGGUUAAUAAAUUGGAACAAUAAUAAGGCAAAAUUAAUUUGAAAAAGCAAUACCCAAGUACUCUGGAAACAUAUCAUAUUUUAUCUUGGUUUCUUGCUGUUUACAUAUAUGCCUAACUUUCUCAACCAGGGCUAUAAAAUUCCAAAAGGCAGGGUCUUUGACCUAUACAUAUCCAUAAUACCUUGCUGUGGAAGACUCAAAAUAUUUUUUAAUGCCAAUUAUUAGAAAAAAGAAAUCAAUUUGCUUUUAUAUCCCCUGUGUUAGGUUUUAAAUAUGUCCACAAAUUCUUUAGUGUUCCUCCCAUUGAAACAUGAAGUCUAAGUCCCCUCCUCUCAAGGGAGAGUUGACUUAGUGACCUCCUUCUAUGGAAAAAAAUAAGGCCUAAGUGACAGUAUAUGAUUUCAAAGUCGACGUCAUAAAGGGCACUGCAGCUUCAUCCUUGCUCCCUCUUUUGGAUUAUUCAAUAUAGGGUAAACUAGCAGCCACAUCCUGAGAACACUCAAACAGCUUACAGAAAGAUGCACACGGGUAGGGACUAAGGCUUCCUGCCAAUAAUCAGGGAAGAAGUAAAGUCUCCUAAGAACAGCCCUAUGAAGUGAGCCAUCUUCCUGCCCCAAACGAGCCUUCAGAUGACUACAGCCAGGCCUACGUCUUGUCUACAAUGUCAUCAUGACACAGUGAGUCAGGAUAGCCCUGCUAACUGGCUCCUGAAUUUCUGGCCCACAAACCUGUGGGAGGGAAUAGGUAUGGAAGGAUAUACAAGAAUUUCAAACGUUUAUUGAUUGUGCGAACAAUGAUUGCCUGCCAGACGUUAUCGGAGAGCACAUCUGUACAUACACUUGCAGACCUGUUGUGCUGACGGGGGUAAAGCUCCAAUGCAUGUACUACUGGAGACUGGUAUCUUCAGUUGCUCCCAGUGACCUGCACUCGCCAUCCAUUCAUGAAGGCAUUGAUCACUAGGAAUGAAGAGGGGUGCCUCUUCGUCUUCCAGUUCCUUGUGGCGAAGUCCGGCUCCUGACGGUGGAAGCAUCAAUGGAAAGAAAUAACUUUUCGUCCUAUCUUACUAUAAGCAGCACUGACAUUCUAGAAAGCAUUCCUUUGAUGGCAAGUCCUGUGCCAAUGUAGAUACAGCCAUUUUGAUACAGGCUGUUUUGUUAUAGUCAAUUUGCUGACACACAGCUUUGACACAGUCAUUUUGAUGCCAGGAACAUCUUGAUGUGGCUGCCUUGAAGUGGCUGUUUUGAUAUGGGAACAUUUUGACUCUGCCUAAAAACAAACCAAUAAACUUUUCACUUAGAAAAUGUUAUUACCAAGUAAUGUACAUUGACUGAUCUCACCCACUCCCUGAAGUAGCAGCCAGACUGCAGAGGUGGAUAGUGGAAACCUUGAUGGGGAAAAAAAUCACCAUGAGCGGGGGAGAAGGCUGGAACAGUGGACCAAAUCAAUAACACAAACCGAAGAAAGAGAAAGCCCCAUUUUCCAAAGGAGGAAACAGCGGCUCAGCAACAGGAGGUAUCUUGCCCAAGGUCACCCAGCUCAGAUUUGGCUGGGAGGCCAACAUCAAACCGGGCAGACGCCAUACUCAUUCCAGACCCCGUGAGGAAGAAAGCGGCAGUAUGGGUUAUA